UAUAAUGCAAGUCGAGCGGACAGAAGGGAGCUUGCUCCCGGAUGUUAGCGGCGGACGGGUGAGUAACACGUGGGUAACCUGCCUGUAAGACUGGGAUAACUCCGGGAAACCGGAGCUAAUACCGGAUAGUUCCUUGAACCGCAUGGUUCAAGGAUGAAAGACGGUUUCGGCUGUCACUUACAGAUGGACCCGCGGCGCAUUAGCUAGUUGGUGAGGUAACGGCUCACCAAGGCGACGAUGCGUAGCCGACCUGAGAGGGUGAUCGGCCACACUGGGACUGAGACACGGCCCAGACUCCUACGGGAGGCAGCAGUAGGGAAUCUUCCGCAAUGGACGAAAGUCUGACGGAGCAACGCCGCGUGAGUGAUGAAGGUUUUCGGAUCGUAAAGCUCUGUUGUUAGGGAAGAACAAGUGCAAGAGUAACUGCUUGCACCUUGACGGUACCUAACCAGAAAGCCACGGCUAACUACGUGCCAGCAGCCGCGGUAAUACGUAAGUGGCAAGCGUUGUCCGGAAUUAUUGGGCGUAAAGGGCUCGCAGGCGGUUUCUUAAGUCUGAUGUGAAAGCCCCCGGCUCAACCGGGGAGGGUCAUUGGAAACUGGGAAACUUGAGUGCAGAAGAAGAGAGUGGAAUUCCACGUGUAGCGGUGAAAUGCGUAGAGAUGUGGAGGAACACCAGUGGCGAAGGCGACUCUCUGGUCUGUAACUGACGCUGAG
rnacentral:rRNA from 1 species